ensembl:lncRNA PROX1-AS1 PROX1 antisense RNA 1
UUACCACCUAAGCUCUGCCUCCUGUCAGAUCAGUGGUGGCAUUAGAUUCUCAUAGGUGCUCAAACCCUUUCAUGAACUGUGUAUGUGAGGAAUCUAAGUUGCAUGCUCCUUAUGAGAAGCUAACGCCUGAUGAUUAUCACUGUCUCCCAUCAUCUCCAGAUGGGACCGUCUAGUUGCAGGAAAACAAGCUCAGGGCUCCCACUGAUUCUACAUUAUGCUAUUCACAGAUCAUCAUCAGCCAGAGGUGACUUCUGUUGCUUGCAGCUCAGAAUCCUAGAUGUUUCCGGUGGCACUGAAGAGCCUCUGCUGAAGCUCUAUACCAUUUGCCAUUUACAAAGGGAAAUGAAAUAAUAACGCUGACCAUUUGUGGAGCACAUUCUGUCUGGAGGCAAAGGAUGCCAAGAUGGGAAAGCCACAUAAUGGAAGGAUCCUGGAUUUCAGAGCUGUCACUUGGAGGAGGGGCACCCAGUGAAGGUGUCUUAUCUAACCCACACCAUAUCUUCAUGAAGUGGCCAUAUGGAUUUGAUCCCUAUCCUUCAGAGGUGCUCAGCCUAAGGGAACACGGAUAGUAGAUUAAGCACUGACCAGAGCCAGCCUUGACAAUGUGCUGAUGGCAACCUAGAACAUAAGCAGAGGAGUAUACAGGACAAGAACUUGAUGGUCUCGGGAA